rnacentral:rRNA from 1 species
AUGGACCAUUCCAUCCCUUUUUCCCGUGCAUAUGCAUCGGACUCGGAUGACGAUGGUCCCGAUGAACAAGUUGAUGCGGAGGGGUUCACGGUGAAGGAGGCCGAAGCUUUCGAGAAGGUAUUUGGUCGGGAUCAUCGGACUACAUUGUUCAAGGAUGUUAGUCUCGCGGAUGAAGCCGUGGUAGAUGGUGGCCAAUGUGUACCUCUUGGGGUUAGGCCAAGCUCUCACCGUGAUUUGGUGGACGACAAGAACCGGAUUGCUAAAGGUUCUAAGUUCGACACCUUGUUGGAAUAG